UCUCCUACGGGGGGCAGCAGUGGGGAAUAUUGGACAAUGGGGGAAACCCUGAUCCAGCGACGCCGCGUGAGUGAAGAAGUAUUUCGGUACGUAAAGCUCUAUCAGCAGGAAAGAAAAUGACGGUACCUGACUAAGAAGCCCCGGCUAACUACGUGCCAGCAGCCGCGGUAAUACGUAGGGGGCAAGCGUUAUCCGGAUUUACUGGGUGUAAAGGGAGCGUAGACGGCGUGCCAAGUCUGAUGUGAAAGGCCGGGGCUCAACCCCGGGACUGCAUUGGAAACUGGCAUGCUGGAGUGCCGGAGGGG
rnacentral:rRNA from 1 species